rnacentral:rRNA from 1 species
AAUGAACGCUGGCGGCAUGCCUAAUACAUGCAAGUCGAACGAGUCGCGGACGGGUGUGAAAUGUCUGGGAAACUGCCUGAUGGAGGGGGUUAACUACUGGAAACGGUGGCUAUUACCGCAUACCAUUCGCUGUUCGCAGGUGGGAGUAGCUAGUAGGUGAGGUAAAGGCUAACAUAGGCCACGAUCCCUAGCUGGUCUGAGAGGAUGACCAGCCACACUGGAACUGAGACACGGUCCAGACUCCUACGGGAGGCAGCAGUAGUGAAUAUUGCAAAAUGGGCGAAAGCCUGAUGGAGCCAUGCCGCGUGUGUGAUGAAGGCCUUCGGGUUGUAAAGUACUUUCAGCGGGGAGGCGGUACCCGCAGAAGAAGCACCGGCUAACUCCGUGCCAGCAGCCGCGGUAAUUC